GCGAGAGUCACGUCUACGGGAGGCAGCAGUGGGGAAUAUUGCACAAUGGGCGCAAGCCUGAUGCAGCCAUGCCGCGUGUAUGAAGAAGGCCUUACGGGUUGUAAAGGUACUUUCAGCAGUGAGGAAGUGGGUAUGUUAAUAGCAUAUUCAUUUGACGUUAGCUGCAGAAGAAGCACCGGCUAACUCCGUGCCAGCAGCCGCGGUAAUACGGAGGGUGCGAGCGUUAAUCGGAAUUACUGGGCGUAAAGCGCAUGCAGGUGGUUUGUUAAGUCAGAUGUGAAAGCCCGGGGCUCAACCUCGGAAUUGCAUUUGAAACUGGCAAACUAGAGUACUGUAGAGGGGGUAGAAUUUCAGGUGUAGCGGUGAAAUGCGUAGAGAUCUGAAGGAAUACCGGUGGCGAAGGCGGCCCCCUGGACAGAUACUGACACUCAGAUGCGAAAGCGUGGGGAGCAAACAGGAUUACAUACCCUGGUAG
rnacentral:rRNA from 1 species